rnacentral:lncRNA from 1 species
UUUUUUUGUCUGCACCCAAGGCAUUUUUUGCUUUUGCCUUCUACUGCAAACAUUUUCUUGGAAAUGUCGAUUCUUUUUUGCUUUUUCAGAAAGGUUGUCCCAGGUGAACUACCAUAAGGGGUAACAUGUCUUCACCCCUCAUGACUGCUGCUAUCCUCCACCAGUAAUCUGCGCAAAAGGGAAGAAUUAAAGCAUCGCUCGCCCCCGGAGCCGGCCUUCUCCUUUUUGGACUGGUAAAAGACGGGAAACGUGGAGGACAUGCUCGUUUUGGGGGCAAAAAGAGGUUGUGAGAUUCCCUCUCAGGUGGAAGUUCUGGUUUAAUCCGGCGCAUUUUCUCUCAGAGCAGAUCGGAUGCUGCAAGGAACCUGAGUUCAUGACUUGGGGAGAACUCUG